rnacentral:rRNA from 2 species
AAACGACUCUCGGCAACGGAUAUCUCGGCUCUCGCAUCGAUGAAGAACGUAGCGAAAUGCGAUACUUGGUGUGAAUUGCAGAAUCCCGUGAACCAUCGAGUUUUUGAACGCAAGUUGCGCCCCAAGCCGUUAGGCUGAGGGCACGCUUGCCUGG